UCCUACGGGAGGCAGCAGUGGGGAAUAUUGCACAAUGGGGGAAACCCUGAUGCAGCAACGCCGCGUGAGUGAUGACGGUCUUCGGAUUGUAAAGCUCUGUCUUUGGGGACGAUAAUGACGGUACCCAAGGAGGAAGCCACGGCUAACUACGUGCCAGCAGCCGCGGUAAUACGUAGGUGGCGAGCGUUGUCCGGAUUUACUGGGCGUAAAGGGAGCGUAGGCGGAUUCUUAAGUGGGAUGUGAAAUACUCGGGCUCAACCUGAGUGCUGCAUUCCAAACUGGGAAUCUAGAGUGCAGGAGGGGAGAGUGGAAUUCCUAGUGUAGCGGUGAAAUGCGUAGAGAUUAGGAAGAACACCAGUGGCGAAGGCGACUCUCUGGACUGUAACUGACGCUGAGGCUCGAAAGCGUGGGGAGCAAACAGGAUUAGAUACCCUGGUAGUCC
rnacentral:rRNA from 1 species